rnacentral:lncRNA from 1 species
GAAAAAUUCCUCUCAUGCUUCCAAUCUCUCUGACUUAUUUGAUCUCUAACCUCUACACCCUCUUUUAAAGAGUUCACUUGAUUAGGCCUGGCCCACCCACUCAAGGGAUGGGGAUUACACAGGUUGUGCACACUGGGUGAGAGAAUCUUGGGGGCCACUUUAGAAUUCUAUUAUAGCAAUCAAACUUUUAUGCCAAAGCAGGGACCCAAAAUGUGUAAUUUUAAUGCACUACAUUAUGGACUGAGUGUUUGUGCCUUGCCUCACCCCAAUUCAUUUGUUGAAGUCCUAACUCCCAAUGUGAUGGUAUUUGGAGGUGGGCCUUUUGGGAAGUAAUUCGGUUUAGAUGAGGUCAUGAGGAUGGGCCCCCAUGAUGGGAUUAGUGUCUUAUAAGAAAAGGAACAGAGACCACCUACUCUUUCUCUCUCUUUCUCUCUGCCAUGUGAGGAACACAGUGAGAAGGCAAUCAUCUGUAAAGCAGGAAGAGAGCCUUCCCCAGGAGCUGAAUCUGCCAGCAUCUUGAUCUUGGACUUCCCAGCCUCCAGAACCACCAGAGAGAAAUGCCUGUUGUCUGAACCACCGAGGUCACUUUGCAUAGACGAGAAGAACUUGAGGCUGAGCCUCUACCUAUGGUCUGUUGGAACCUAAGGAAGCCAGUUCAUUUCUCCCAAUCUCAAUGUCCUCAUCUGUAAAAGUAGGGAAAUUAUACUGGGCUUGCUGGGUUGGUUUGUGUGUGUAUGUGUGAACUAUAAAUACUUGAAAACGACUACCCCUUUCAGAAAGGGUUACUACUGCUAUUACUGUUAUCUGUGCCUUUAUGUAUGUAUAACUGAUCUGUCUCCUCUACUAGGCUAUGCAUUUGAGAGCAAGAAUUGUGUCUGUAUUGCUAACAGCAAUUCCAGCGCCUAACAAAGAGGAGGUGCUGUGGAGGCCAAAGCAACUCCAACUUGGAUGCUAAUCCAUCACUUUAACUUCUGAUUAACCUUGUUCUAGGAAGUCCUCUAAGAUUUCCAGUUUAUUUGAUGUUUCUUGUGUGAGAGUAGGUACCUACUGUAAAUCCUGCCCUGAGGUCAAAACAACCUUGAUGUUAUAGGACUUCAAUUGUUCUACACAAACAUUUUGAAUCACAUAUACCCUUUCCCAGUAUUAUAUAAGCCCUGCUCAUGAGAAUAAAUGGUGCAGGAUCCACCAUCUUGCCUCACCGCUGCCUGAGACACAGACAUGGCUUCUGUUUGUAAGUCCCUAUUAAGUGUAUAUUUCUGAGGAACCGGAUAUGUCAGCCUUUUUCUUCAGCCUCUCAGCUUCCUUGGACUUUUGGGGUAGGUUUGCCGAGGCCUGGCCCCCAUGGAACAGGUGCUCCAUCAAGGAGUAAGUGCUGAGCAUUUAGAUUCAGGUGAGGGGCAGCAGCCACCAGGAAAGAAGAGUCUAUGCAUAAUUACCUGCCCUACUUCCUGAGUCAGGGGUUCUCAAAUUCUUUGUGUUCAGGACACAUUUGAAGAGCCGGCACAUUCAGACAACAGUGACUCAGCAAUCAUUGCACUUAAUCCCUACUACUGAAGAACAACAUCUCAUAAUGUCUACAAAAGCAACCACUAUGAUCCCACCAUUUACUGGGAUGGCUUCAGCACUGCAGUUAGAAGGUGGAACGCUGACUGCCCGAAUGUCCUUCCUCUAAUAUACACAAGAAGAAUUCUCACCUGUCUAGUUAACCACUAUAUUUAUUGGUCCCUGGCUUGACAACAUACCUCUUACCUCCUCACAGCACUACAUAGUGUGUUGGCAUGCAGUCAUGUUUCAGGCAGGCACUUCAAAUUUGCCCUUGGAAUUCCAGGAUUUUGCUUUUGCAGUUUCUAAUUGUCAGCAAUCCUGAAGGCCCUUGACAUGUGGUCAUUUGUAAUUUUGCUGAGAUGUAAUUUUUUUUUUUUUUUUUGAGACAGAGUCUCGCUCUGUCGUCCAGGCUGGAGUGCAGUGGCGUGAUCUCAGCUCACUGCAAUCUCCGCCUCCCGGGUUCAAGCAAUUCUCCUGCCUCAGCCUCCUGAGUAGCUGAGAUUACAGGCACAUGCCACCACGCCCAGCUAAUUUUUGUAUUUUUACUACAGAUGAGGUUUCACCAUGUUGGUAAGGCUGGUCUCGAACUCCUAACGUCAUGAUCCACCCACCUUGGCCUCCCAAAGUGCUG